GAUGAACGCUGGCGGCGUGCUUAACACAUCCAAGUCGAACGAUGAAGCCCAGCUUGCUGGGUGGAUUUGUGGCGAACGGGUGAGUAACACGCGAGUAACCUGCCCUCAACUCUGGGAUAAGCCUGGGAAACUGGGUCUAAUACCGGCUAGGAGCGUCCAUUGACCGGUGGGUGUUGGAAAGAUUUAUCGGUUUUGGAUCGUCUCGCGGUCUAUCGGCUUGUUGGUGUGGUAAUGGUUCACCAAGGCGUCGACGGGUAGCCGGCCUUAGAAGGUGAACGGCCACACUAGUACUAUGACAGGGCGCAGACGCCUACGGGAGGCAUCAGUGGUGAGUCUUACACAACGAGCGCACGCCUGAUACAGCGACGCCGCGUGCGGAAUGACCGCUUUCGGGGUAUAAACAUCUUUCAGUAUAAAAGAAGCCAACGUGACGGUACCUACAGAAGAAGCACCGGCUAACUACGUG
rnacentral:rRNA from 1 species